GAUGAACGCUGGCGGCGUGCCUAAUACAUGCAAGUCGAGCGAACGGACGAGAAGCUCGCUUUUCUGAUGUUAGCGGCGGACGGGUGAGUAACACGUGGAUAACCUACCUAUAAGACUGGGAUAACUUCGGGAAACCGGAGCUAAUACCGGAUAAUAUUUUGAACCGCAUGGUUCAAAAGUGAAAGACGGUCUUGCUGUCACUUAUAGAUGGAUCCGCGCUGCAUUAGCUAGUUGGUAAGGUAACGGCUUACCAAGGCAACGAUGCAUAGCCGACCUGAGAGGGUGAUCGGCCACACGGGAACUGAGACACGGUCCAGACCCCUACGGGAGGCAGCAGUAGGGAAUCUUCCGCAAUGGGCGAAAGCCUGACGGAGCAACGCCGCGUGAGUGAUGAAGGUCUUCGGAUCGUAAAACUCUGUUAUUAGGGAAGAACAUAUGUGUAAGUAACUGUGCACAUCUUGACGGUACCUAAGCAGAAAGCCACGGCUAACUACGU
rnacentral:rRNA from 1 species